rnacentral:rRNA from 1 species
UUAUGAAUAAGGAUCGGCUAACUCCGUGCCAGCAGCCGCGGUAAUACGGAGGAUCCGAGCGUUAUCCGGAUUUAUUGGGUUUAAAGGGUGCGUAGGCGGCCUUUUAAGUCAGCGGUGAAAGUCUGUGGCUCAACCAUAGAAUUGCCGUUGAAACUGGGGGGCUUGAGUAUGUUUGAGGCAGGCGGAAUGCGUGGUGUAGCGGUGAAAUGCAUAGAUAUCACGCAGAACCCCGAUUGCGAAGGCAGCCUGCCAAGCCAUGACUGACGCUGAUGCACGAAAGCGUGGGGAUCAAACAGGAUUAGAUACCCUGGUAGUCCACGCAGUAAACGAUGAUCACUAGCUGUUUGCGAUACACUGUAAGCGGCACAGCGAAAGCGUUAAGUGAUCCACCUGGGGAGUACGCCGGCAACGGUGAAACUCAAAGGAAUUGACGGGGGCCCGCACAAGCGGAGGAACAUGUGGUUUAAUUCGAUGAUACGCGAGGAACCUUACCCGGGUUUGAACGCAUUCGGACCGAGGUGGAAACACCUUUUCUAGCAAUAGCCGUUUGCGAGGUGCUGCAUGGUUGUCGUCAGCUCGUGCCGUGAGGUGUCGGCUUAAGUGCCAUAACGAGCGCAACCCUUGCCACUAGUUACUAACAGGUAAAGCUGAGGACUCUGGUGGGACUGCCAGCGUAAGCUGCGAGGAAGGCGGGGAUGACGUCAAAUCAGCACGGCCCUUACAUCCGGGGCGACACACGUGUUACAAUGGCGUGGACAAAGGGAGGCCACCUGGCGACAGGGAGCGAAUCCCCAAACCACGUCUCAGUUCGGAUCGGAGUCUGCAACCCGACUCCGUGAAGCUGGAUUCGCUAGUAAUCGCGCAUCAGCCAUGGCGCGGUGAAUACGUUCCCGGGCCUUGUACACACCGCCCGUCAAGCCAUGGGAGCCGGGGGUACCUGAAGUACGUAACCGCAAGGAUCGUCCUAGGGUAAAACUGGUGACUGGGGCUAAGUCGUAACAAGGUAGCCGUACCGGAAGGUGCGGCUG